UGUCAUCGUAAUUUUGCCUCCCCAUGCAUUUCUCUUCAAAAGGAAAACUAAGGCACAAUUUAACGAAACAUACAGAAUUUUGCAGAGACAACAUAAUGUAUUGCUUUGAAAACUGAUUUUCGAUCAGUUGCCGUUUCUUUAAAGAAUUAAUAAGUAAAUCGAGUAAUGACAUUUAGUGAAGAUCUUGAUCGAGAGUACUGGUUUGAAAUUGCUCCAGUUGCUUUUGUAAAGUUGCGAUUUGUGUUUCAAGCUGUUUGAUUUUCAAUUGAGAAUCGACCGUAAUCUGUGCCGUAGAUGAUUCAAGUGAAUCAGUUCCGGACUCCAUAGGCUCCUCUUUUUUCUUUCCAGAUAUUGAACGAAAAAAUGGAAACCGAAACAGACUUUUGCGUCUGGUAUAUUUCAUGAGUUUGGUCGGAGCUUCAAUUGUUUGGAGCGUUGGCGUUUCAGAUCUAUCAGGGAAGUUAUUGUUUAUUUCCUUAGUAAAAUCAUUAUUUUCCCAAGAGCCGUUAACAAGACGGUUUGACUGAAUAUCCUCCCUAGAAUCCGUAAUCUCUCCAAUACUACUUUCGCUACUUGAUGCGUGACCAAAUGCUCUUUUAAAUGAUUCUUCCCUUUUAUGACUUCUUCCCAUCUCCUCUUCAGAUAAUUCCUUAGCAUCAUUGUAUGAAGGAAUAAGAAACUUGGAUACAUUGUUAUCAUCUGUAGUUCCUUGAGUAAUGUGUUGUAAAUGUAAAUCCUCGUUUUCAUAUGGAAUCCUUGUAUUAUUUAAAUAUUCUUGUUGACUUAUAUCGAAAUUCGAUAGCGGUUGAAUCUGCUCGUUCGUAUUCUGAUAGGCAGGAUCUUCUUUGCUUGUUGCAUUGGCAUCUUCUUCAACGCUGUUACCAAGAGAAAAAUCAUCACCUUCUACGAUCAAAAAACUCUCAUCGGAGCUAAAUAUGCUUGGUGAUGGCUGAUCAUCAUCCAUGGGAACGAUGGAAAAAGCAACUGCAAGUCCAUAGUUGGUUGACAGCUUUUUAACCUGCAUUUCGAAUUUAGAAUACAUUUGAUAUAAAUCGUCCUCAGAAUCUUCCAUUAAAGCUUCACGAAAGCUUGGUUUUAGUCGAACAGUAGUAUUAUGAUCACCUGGUAAAACCAUUGAAUUGGACGUAAAUCGUGGAGUUAAUGAAGAAGUAUACAUAGGUGAUAAUCUCGUAGACAUUGACAUUGAUAUUGGUGUUUG